AAUAAGUGCAGUUUUGCACUAUUCAUCUUCAAUGUUUGACCGUUCGUCUUAUUUAAUUUUUUUUAUUACUAAUUUUAUUGUUAUUAGAUGAUAAAACAUGAAUAGUACUUUAUGUGUGACUAAUUUUUUAAAAAAAUUUCAUAAAAUUUUUAAAUAAGACGAACGGUCAAACGUUGGACAUGGAUUUCCAUGGCUACAUUUAUU
rfam:Oryza glumipatula chromosome 6, whole genome shotgun sequence.